AUGGGGCCCGCCGGGCCCAGAUCUGGGCAGGGGGCGCGACGUCGGCCACCCAACACCACCACGCUGCCCCGCCACAAAGGAGCAGCGCCGCCACCACGCCCGCCGCCAGCCACCCCGCCGGGUAACCGGACCACCGCCAAGCCGAGCGACACCGCUGCCGCCCCCCUGCCCCGGGCCAGGAGGAUGCGCGCGUGGGGAGAGGAGAUCCUGCCGCCGCCGGCACCCCCGGGCCGGAGCAGGGGGCGCUCGCCGGCGACUGUAGGGGAGAGGAUGAGGGGACAAAGCCGAGAGCAGAAGCACGGGGGCCGCCCCGGCCGCCUCCCGGGGAGGCGGCGCGAGGGCGGAAGGAGGGGCGGGGAAGGAAGGGCGGGGGAAGGAGGGAGCGGAUCCGGGCCGCGCGCCGGCGAGGACGACCGGAUCCCGCCGGCGACGGGCAGGGAAAGUGUGAAGAUGCAACACAUGAACACUUGGGGAUCUAGUAUACUGACACAACAAACUCCAGAAUAUGCAACCUAUGAUAGCGGCACCUUGAGGACUGGAUGGGAUGUCAACGCAUGGAGGCACCAGCUACCCGCAGCAGAGGAGAUUUGGCCGGCGGCCAUCACCACUCAUGCGAAGCAGCACAGUGAGGAGAUGUUCUGUUCGAGGCUCCGUGGCUGUUGGCGCGUCCGGUUCCAGGCAGAGUACGGGCUGCUCACGCAUGUUGCAUGCACAUGCACAUGCACAUGUAUGAUCAGAUCUCGUGUACUCUUUGUGCCCUAUUCGAAGCAGCAAGAGUGCUGCCUUUUCAUUAAGAAGGGGGAGAUAGAUACAACUGACAGCAAUGGUGAGAGGGGCUUCAGUGAAUGCAGUGGACUUGGAUUAAUUGGGUAUGUUUGCUUCAAAAGGAUGAGUCUGUCAAAGUGUCAUGUGAAUGGCAAGGAGCUGAGGUGCCACCGGAUCGGAUCUAGGCCAGCCUGGAACAUGACAACACUGGCCAAUCAGGAGGAUCAGUUUCAGAGGCGUGGGGCUAAUAUUUCAGCCCUUUUAUCUGGUCUGUUUUUGUCCCAGCAACAGGAAUUAUGGCCGAGCAUGCCGGACGUGAUUGUCACCUACACCCUAAUGUUGGCUAACUUCUUCCUGGAUAUGAGAUGGCUGUUGAGAGCACUUGGGUCAACCUGGGCGCAUGUUUUCCAGAAGUCCAGCUGGCUUCACCAUGUUGUUUUGUGCAGUGGGAGAUGGCACCGGCUCUGUUCUGUCGUCGUGUUUCUUGAUCUUGGCCUGCCCCGGCUACGCCUCAUGCCGCCUCCGUGCAUGUGGCAGAUCCGCAGAUUGGAAAAUGCAAUUGGGCUGGAAGAUAUUUGGAAUGAACACCAGGACUCCAAAGGACAUAAGCUUUCACAAGAUGUGAAAGUUCUGGUGCUCGAAUGUGUACAGAAGAUACUCAAAUCAAGAUACGAGAUGCAGAGUUAUUUUUCUGAAGGACAACUUGAAUAUUAUGAGAUUCAGUCCAAAGCCUGUUACGGCACUGACAAAAGUUCCUGUUUGAGCAGACCAAUAUAUGGGCCUCCGUGCUACACCGACCACUACUCCUCUGAAUGCCACCAGCAUCCGGCGGCGACACAGGCUGACAGGCGGCGGAUGUCGUCGCUCGCCGUUGGGAAAUUCCCAAGCCUAGACAGCUCAUCUACAUCAAGCCCGUCCAGCCUUGAUCGAUCGGCGCGAGCACGUCUGUGCAACAACCAGCUACGAUCCGAUGAAACCGUCGACGAGCCAGCCGCAAGCAAGUCCGAGUCAGCACCAACUGCAGCGAGAGGCUACGUUGCACGACACGUGGUUCUCGGAUCACAGGAGGGCGUAGAUCCUGCGGUGAUUUCCAUCGCGUACGAGUACGCGGAUCUCCCGACGGCGCAACCAGCAACUCCUUCAAAUCAGCGCUCAUGCAUGGAUCGUGGUUCCCUUGAAGUGAUGCAGGUUUACUCCCGUUUAGUUGUAGGGCACAAAAGAUCGUCAUUACACAAGGACCGAGUACAAGACCACACUGGACGGCCGCAUCUACAUCAAGGGGGGCUGAAAUCUUUUGUUCUCAGGAGCGACCUCGAGGUGGCAAUGGACAUUGAAGUCACAUUCUCGGUCUUUUGUACAAAGGGUGUAUGUAGUUUUCAUGUGCUCUACGAAUGUCAAUGCUCAAAGGUGGCGCAUGUGCAAUUAAUCAAGGAGCCUGAAGGAAUUCUUAUGGAGUAUGCCUCCAAGGUUCUUUUCUCGACCAAGUCGGUCAUCUACAAUUUCUGCGUCUUACUUCUCGAGAUUUUAAGCGGGAAGAGGAACGCAAGCUUCUUGAAUCUCACAGGACACUGCCAGAGCCCAAGUAGCCAGCCUACUACAAAGCCCGGAUAUCAAGCAUCCGUGAGUCAGUCAGGCCUGUUGUCGGGUCUUCCAUCGUAG
rnacentral:rRNA from 1 species